UACGGGGGGAGCAAGCGUUGUUCGGAUUUACUGGGCGUAAAGGGCGCGUAGGCGGUCGUGACAAGUCACUUGUGAAAUCCCCGGGCUUAACCUGGGAACUGCGUUUGUAACUGGCAAGCUAGAGUGUGGCAGAGGGGGGUGGAAUUCCACGUGUAGCAGUGAAAUGCGUAGAGAUGUGGAGGAACACCGAUGGCGAAGGCAGCCCCCUGGGUUAACACUGACGCUCAGGCACGAAAGCGUGGGGAGCAAACAGG
rnacentral:rRNA from 1 species